rnacentral:rRNA from 1 species
CCUACGGGAGACAGCAGUGAGGAAUAUUGGUCAAUGGGCGUAAGCCUGAACCAGCCAAGUCGCGUGAGGGAUGAAGGUACUAUGGAUCGUAAACCUCUUUUAUAAGGGAAUAAAGUGUGGGACGUGUCCUAUUUUGUAUGUACCUUAUGAAUAAGGAUUGGCUAACUCCGUGCCAGCAGCCGCGGUAAUACGGAGGAUCCGAGCGUUAUCCGGAUUUGUUGGGUUUAAAGGGUGCGUAGGCGGGCUUUUAAGUCAGCGGUGAAAGUCUGUGGCUCAACCCUAGAAUUGCCUUUGAAACUGGGGUGAUUGAGUAUGUUUGAGGCAGGCGGAAUGCGUGGUGUAGCGGUGAAAUGCUUAGAUAUCACGCAGAACCCCGAUUGCGAAGGCAGCCUGCCAAGCCAUGACUGACGCUGAUGCACGAAAGCGUGGGGAUCAAACAGGAUUAGAUACCCCAGUAGUC